AUGGGCGGCAGCGCGGCGGCUGGGAAGAGCGUGGACGGCGGGGGCAGGGCGGCGCAGAGGGUGCCGGUGCCGGAGGCGCGGCCGUUCCUGGACACGUUCCGGGCCAACCUCAAGGAGACCUUCUUCCCGGACGACCCGUUCCGCGCGGUGGUGCGGGAGCGGGGCUUCGGCCGGCGCGCGGCGGCCGCGCUCCGCUACUUCUUCCCGUUCCUCGAGUGGGCGCCGGCAUACAGGCUCGGCACCUUCAAGUCGGACCUCAUCGCCGGCAUCACCAUUGCCAGCCUCGCCAUCCCGCAGGGCAUCAGCUACGCCAAGCUCGCCAACCUGCCGCCCAUCCUCGGCCUCUACUCGAGCUUCGUGCCGCCGCUGGUGUACGCGAUGAUGGGGAGCUCCAAGGACCUGGCGGUGGGGACGGUGGCGGUGGCGUCGCUGCUCAUCGCCUCCAUGCUGGGCGCCGAGGUGUCGGCCACGGAGAACCCGGCGCUCUACCUCCACCUGGCCUUCACGGCGACCUUCUUCGCCGGCGUCAUCCAGGCCUCGCUCGGCAUCCUCAGGCUGGGGUUCAUCGUGGACUUCCUGUCGCACGCGGCGAUCGUGGGGUUCAUGGGCGGCGCGGCGACGGUGGUGUGCCUGCAGCAGCUCAAGGGCAUGCUGGGGCUGGAGCACUUCACCACCUCCACCGACCUCGUCUCCGUCAUGCGCUCCGUCUUCUCCCAGACACACCAGUGGCGAUGGGAGAGCGUGGUGCUCGGCUGCGGCUUCCUCUUCUUCCUCCUCGUCACCCGCUUCUUCAGCAAGAGGCAGCCUAGGUUCUUCUGGGUAUCCGCCGCCGCGCCAUUGACGUCGGUCAUCCUUGGGAGCCUCCUGGUCUACUUCACCCAUGCUGAAAACCAUGGCGUUCAAAUUAUCGGUAAUCUGAAGAAAGGCCUGAACCCAAUCUCCGUCACAAACCUCCAGUUCACGCCGCCGUACAUGAUGCUCGCCCUCAAGACCGGCCUCAUCACCGGCGUCAUCGCCCUCGCCGAAGGGAUCGCCGUCGGCCGGAGCUUCGCCAUGUUCAAGAACUACCACAUCGACGGCAACAAGGAGAUGAUCGCCAUCGGGACGAUGAACAUCCUGGGGUCCUUCACCUCCUGCUACCUCACCACGGGGCCCUUCUCCCGGUCCGCCGUGAACUACAACGCCGGGUGCAAGACGGCCAUGUCCAACGUGGUCAUGUCGCUGGCGGUGAUGGUGACGCUCCUCUUCCUCACGCCGCUCUUCCACUACACGCCGCUGGUGGUGCUGUCGGCGAUCAUCAUGUCGGCGAUGCUGGGGCUCAUCGACUUCCCGGCCGCCGUGCACCUCUGGCACGUCGACAAGGUGGACUUCUGCGUCUGCGCGGGGGCCUACCUCGGCGUCGUCUUCGGCAGCGUCGAGAUGGGGCUGGUGGUCGCCGUGGCCAUCUCCGUGCUCCGGGUGCUGCUCUUCGUGGCCCGGCCGAGGACGACCGUGCUCGGCAACGUGCCGGACACCAACGUCUACCGGAGGAUGGACCAGUACACGACGGCGCGGGCGGUGCCCGGCGUGCUCGUGCUGCGCGUGGACUCGCCCAUCUACUUCGCCAACUCCGGCUACCUGCGCGAGAGGUUCACCCGGUGGAUCGACGAGGACGAUGAACGCACCAGCGCCAAGGGCGAGACCGGCGUGCAGUACGUCGUCCUCGACAUGGGUGCUGUGGGCAGCAUCGACACCAGCGGGACGAGCAUGCUGGACGAGCUCAAGAAGACCCUGGACAGGAGGGGGAUUCAGAUCGUGCUGGCGAACCCGGGGAGCGAGAUCAUGAAGAAGCUGGACAGCUCCAAGGUGCUGGAGCUCAUCGGCCACGAGUGGAUCUUCCCGACGGUGGGCGAGGCCGUGGCGGAGUGCGACUUCGUGCUGCACUCCCACAAGCCGGGCAUGGUGGUGGACGGUGCCUCGCAUGAGAACAUGGUCUGA
rnacentral:rRNA from 1 species